rnacentral:rRNA from 1 species
UACAGAGGUCUCAAGCGUUGUUCGGAUUCAUUGGGCGUAAAGGGUGCGUAGGUGGCGCGCUAAGUCAGGUGUGAAAUUUCGGAGCUUAACUCCGAAACUGCAUUUGAUACUGGCGUGCUUGAGGACUGGAGAGGAGACUGGAAUUCCUGGUGUAGCGGUGAAAUGCGCAGAUAUCAGGAGGAACACCCGUGGCUAAGGCGGCUCUCUAGUACGGUACUGACGCUGAGACGCGAAAGCGUGGGGAGCGAACAGG